GACGAACGCUGGCGGCGUGCCUAAUACAUGCAAGUUGAGCGCUGAAGGUUGGUACUUGUACCAACUGGAUGAGCAGCGAACGGGUGAGUAACGCGUGGGGAAUCUGCCUUUGAGCGGGGGACAACAUUUGGAAACGAAUGCUAAUACCGCAUAAAAACUUUAAACACAAGUUUUAAGUUUGAAAGAUGCAAUUACAUCACUCAAAGAUGAUCCCGCGUUGUAUUAGCUAGUUGGUGAGGUAAAGGCUCACCAAGGCGAUGAUACAUAGCCGACCUGAGAGGGUGAUCGGCCACAUUGGGACUGAGACACGGCCCAAACUCCUACGGGAGGCAGCAGUAGGGAAUCUUCGGCAAUGGACGAAAGGCUGACCGAGCAACGCCGCGUGAGUGAAGAAGGUUUUCGGAUCGUAAAACUCUGUUGGUAGAGAAGAACGUUGGUGAGAGUGGAAAGCUCAUCAAGUGACGGUAACUACCCAGAAAGGGACGGCUAACUACGUG
rnacentral:rRNA from 1 species